rnacentral:rRNA from 1 species
GAGUACGUGAAACCGUCUAGCGGUAAAGAGAGGGGAUCUCGAAGUUCUGAGGGGGACUCAACCUUGGUGGUGCUUGGCCUGGGCGUAUUUGAUCAGCAAUGACUUUGCGUUUAGUCCCGAGUACCUCCCGGACGCACUUUCUCCUCAGUUGACGGCAGGAACUGUUAGGAGCGAACUGAAGGCCCAGGGUGAAGUUGUUGGUUAUGCUGGCAGCCCUUGGUGUCCUAGCUUCGCAUCUGACAGGUAUGUAAGCAAACUCGUAUAGCGAGCAAUUCUCUAUUGCGGUUUGCAUCUCUCUGCCGAGUAGGUCGGUGUCUCCUCUCACCCGUCUUGAAACACGG